GGGACCACUAGGUAACAAUCACAACAAUCCACAGAUACAGUUUAUCCUAAGGAUUCCCUGUGCCACAUGUAUGUUUAACACUAAAACUGCAUUUAUAAAAUCAUACCAACAAUUAUCUCGAUAGCUUAGUAUUCUAUCUAAGGUAUAAAGGCU